UGAAACUUCAAAAUAACAUUAAAAGGGAAUAUGAGUUUUCAUGUUUACCGCCGAAGACCUAAGUUUAAUAACAACUGAGACACAAACUGGGGCAUCUCUGGCUCUUGGAGGCUUCAUCUGGCCAUGGACAACCCUCCAGAGAAAUGGGUAACUGAACAAUUGACAACCAACAUGUGAAGCAGUUGGGAGAAUGGAUGCACCAGCUGGCAAAGAGCAUCUGGAUGAGGCAGCUACCACCCUGUGGAGGCUUGUACUGUGAAUAUCCAUGAGUGUCAGAGGGGAUUCGCCCAUUCAAAGACUACCACGUGUACAGAGGUGAUUCCUGAACCCUCUGGGAUGGUCCAGAAGAAACUAUAGGCUUCGGAGAGAAGAGAUAUAAAAGGGCAAGACAGACUCAAUGGCUGCAAUCACUCAGUAGCCGGUUUCCUGCACAACACCGCCUCCUGCUGGACACAGUUACCAAGUACAUCCCUUUUUAAAAGGAACCUAAACUUGUUACUGACCCAUACAGGUCCUGUGACCCUCCAACCUGACAUCCCCAUUUUGGGAUGCAUCAACUUGGAUUUAGUGGUUAUCAAGGGAAGGGUACAAAAGGCCUUACUAGUGAGAUGGAAAUGCUAUGUUCAACAACACAGCUGGCCUAGCCCUAACGUCUGGGUUUUACAAGAAAGAGUGGCAGCAAUCCAUUUGGGAAAACUUCAUUCCUCAGUUCGUCACCUAAAAAAAAACUAGCUCAGGAGGGCCUUCAAUUCACAGAGGGUCCCCUAAGUGUUCCUGCCUGGUUGUCUGAGGGUUUGACUAUGCUGACACCUGAUGGUGUCCGCGUUCAACUUCAGCGCCAGCUAUGCAGAAUCAAAAAAGCAGGUGUGGUCGUUCUGCUCCAUGGGCAGAACUCAAGACAGUGCUAAUAGUCCUGGCCAACACCUUCCCUGAUGAAACUUGGUACAUUUUUACUGCCUUUUGUGCUGUUGUCAAGGGCCUAGCUGUCUUGUCUGCAAGAUGGGCAGACAUCCUUCUAUGGAGCUGCAAACUGUAGAAACAAAUUCAGCUGCCAAUCACACAGCCUGGGUCAUCAUGGAGACGCUUGUGGUAAAGUCCCAUCUAAUAAGAGCAACUGGAAUCAAGCUUCUGAUCCAUCCUGCACUGACCAUAUAACCACCACCACCACCACCCCCAGAUCAUUGUACCAAUUAUGGCAACACAUCCACCAUAAGGACUGGGCACGAAAUAAAGAGUUGUAUGUUUCUGAUGUGGAAGCCACCGCUACAUACCAGCCUUGUGACACCUCCUGAGAGUAUAGCUGUUUGUCUUACAUUAUAGAGGCCACAUUGCACAAGCAUUGCUCCCACCUGCUCCUGGAUGAUUGGCUACCUCAGUCCUUUGACUCCCUCUCUGGACUGUCACUGGUGCCUUACUGCUGGGAGCACAUUUUCAAGUUAUAGUGUUGCUAUCCUAGUCUGACCAGGACACUCUGGCACACCAUUUUGGCCCUUGUAACUAAACCAUGUCAAGUUUUUGGCAUUUCAGGCCAUCUACAGUCUGACAAUGAUGUAACCUUUGUUGUAAAGCCACCCAACAAUGAGCCAAUAGUCAAGGUAUAUGGUGGCCAUGCCAUGCUCCCAGGCAUCCCGUAUUAUUGAGCACUGGAAUGGCCUCUUCAAAAAUAAACCAAAAAAGCUUCUGAUUGCCUCCCUUUUUUCCUUUUGAUCAACACACCUUGGUGAGGCAGUGAGGUCAUUGAAUGCAGCUGUCCCCAAACAAGAAUUAUCUCUUCUCAGCAAUGUCCUGGGUAAUUAUCAGGACAAAAGAAGUAGAAGGUUAUAAAGACUUAUUCUGAAGAUUUAGGAUUUUGACUAUUUCUGGGCAUUGUGCUUCCAUCCUCCCAUCCCCCAACAAUAACCCCAGACCAGCCAAGUUGGCACACCCUCCAGGUUUUAGCCUGGCAAAGGGAGCCUACAGGGUUCAAACUUAAUUCUGGUUUAGCUGCCUGGAUUCUCCUGAUGGAUUUGACUCAUGCAAACUUUUGAGACGGAAGAGUCAUCAGAGGUCAGCAAACUGCGGCUCGCGAGCCACAUGCGGC